AAAUUGAAGAGUUUGAUCAUGGCUCAGAUUGAACGCUGGCGGCAGGCCUAACACAUGCAAGUCGAACGGUAACAGGAAGCAGCUUGCUGCUUUGCUGACGAGUGGCGGACGGGUGAGUAAUGUCUGGGAAACUGCCUGAUGGAGGGGGAUAACUACUGGAAACGGUGGCUAAUACCGCAUAACGUCGCAAGACCAAAGAGGGGGACCUUCGGGCCUCUUGCCAUCAGAUGUGCCCAGAUGGGAUUAGCUUGUUGGUGAGGUAACGGCUCACCAAGGCGACGAUCCCUAGCUGGUCUGAGAGGAUGACCAGCCACACUGGAACUGAGACACGGUCCAGACUCCUACGGGAGGCAGCAGUGGGGAAUAUUGCACAAUGGGCGCAAGCCUGAUGCAGCCAUGCCGCGUGUAUGAAGAAGGCCUUCGGGUUGUAAAGUACUUUCAGCGGGGAGGAAGGUGUUGCGGUUAAUAACCGCAGCAAUUGACGUUACCCGCAGAAGAAGCACCGGCUAACUCCGUGCCAGCAGCCGCGGUAAUACGGAGGGUGCAAGCGUUAAUCGGAAUUACUGGGCGUAAAGCGCACGCAGGCGGUCUGUCAAGUCGGAUGUGAAAUCCCCGGGCUCAACCUGGGAACUGCAUUCGAAACUGGCAGGCUUGAGUCUUGUAGAGGGGGGUAGAAUUCCAGGUGUAGCGGUGAAAUGCGUAGAGAUCUGGAGGAAUACCGGUGGCGAAGGCGGCCCCCUGGACAAAGACUGACGCUCAGGUGCGAAAGCGUGGGGAGCAAACAGGAUUAGAUACCCUGGUAGUCCACGCCGUAAACGAUGUCUACUUGGAGGUUGUGCCCUUGAGGCGUGGCUUCCGGAGCUAACGCGUUAAGUAGACCGCCUGGGGAGUACGGCCGCAAGGUUAAAACUCAAAUGAAUUGACGGGGGCCCGCACAAGCGGUGGAGCAUGUGGUUUAAUUCGAUGCAACGCGAAGAACCUUACCUGGUCUUGACAUCCACGGAAGUUUUCAGAGAUGAGAAUGUGCCUUCGGGAACCGUGAGACAGGUGCUGCAUGGCUGUCGUCAGCUCGUGUUGUGAAAUGUUGGGUUAAGUCCCGCAACGAGCGCAACCCUUAUCCUUUGUUGCCAGCGGUUAGGCCGGGAACUCAAAGGAGACUGCCAGUGAUAAACUGGAGGAAGGUGGGGAUGACGUCAAGUCAUCAUGGCCCUUACGACCAGGGCUACACACGUGCUACAAUGGCGCAUACAAAGAGAAGCGACCUCGCGAGAGCAAGCGGACCUCAUAAAGUGCGUCGUAGUCCGGAUUGGAGUCUGCAACUCGACUCCAUGAAGUCGGAAUCGCUAGUAAUCGUGGAUCAGAAUGCCACGGUGAAUACGUUCCCGGGCCUUGUACACACCGCCCGUCACACCAUGGGAGUGGGUUGCAAAAGAAGUAGGUAGCUUAACCUUCGGGAGGGCGCUUACCACUUUGUGAUUCAUGACUGGGGUGAAGUCGUAACAAGGUAACCGUAGGGGAACCUGCGGUUGGAUCACCUCCUUACCUUAAAGAAGC
rnacentral:rRNA from 1 species